AGAUGCAAAAUCUGACACUUCUAUUCUCUGUAUGAAAUUUUCCCUCAUAAUCUUGGACACUGACGGAGAAAAUUCAACUGUGUAAGAGUGACCAAGAACAGAGAUUUGCAGGAAACACGAACCGUUAAAAUAAUUAAGUCUCAUGGAAAGCAAAGCAGGAAAAUAGUCAAACCUAGCACACCAGACAGCUCAUAUGUGUGCUCUAAAAGUACUCAUGACAUUUCGGGUGUGAUAAAGAUGAAUUUGAGACCCAAGAACAAAGUGCUAGACAUCAAGCUUCAAUUGUUGUGCUUUACAGUUGAAGCAUCUAAAGCAGAUUGCAGGAUUUGCAGCACUCGUUUUUUAUUUCCUUGUAACCCUUUUCUAUAUAUAAGCAAAGGGUCUAUAUGUGUAGAUGUAUAGGUGUAGAAGUCG